GUGACCCUUUACCUAAAACCAAACAUUACACCAUUUCUUUUCCCUAGAGCGUUAAAACAUUCCGUUCUUAAUAUCCAAUCACAAUUUUUUUUUUAAAAAUCACACAUAAACACAUUUUAACUCAUCAAAUAAGAUGACAAUAAAGUAUCAAUCAAUCAAACUCUUUUAAACGAAAACCUUGUUCUUGAUUAGUUAUCUACACUUCACAAACAUCCAUCAAUCCAAAAACCCUAAUUUUCUUGCAAAAAGAAAAAAUCUCCCUAUAAAUUUUGAUAUCAAGAAACCUAAAACAAGAUUAAAAUUAAUUAAAUUACUCAUCUUUAAUUCGAAGAGAAAAAUAGUUCCCAAAUUCAACUGCUACUCAGACACCAAAAAGCUUCAAAUCCAACGAAAGUGGAAGGAGAUUACAAAUAUUUUUUGAAAAAAGAGGAUCAGAAAGAGAGAGCGUGUACGAGACGCCACAACGGGGAGAUAACGAUGAAGGAUUUUACCGAUCGAACUCAGAGAUGGUGAUACACUGAUACUUUGAUAGAGAGAACAUAGAAGAGAGUAGGCUGCCGCUGCUCUUCAGAGAAAAAAAAGAAGAAAAAAAAUGAUGAGUGAACUGAUUCUCUCAAUAGUGUAAACCUAGGAUAGACGUCUGCGAUUAAAACCUGAUCAAGAUUUAAACGGCUGGUAUUAACCAGUUCUUACGGUCCGGUACAAGCCGGUACCCCUAAGAACCUUUCCAUGUACCUAGUCCGGUUCUCAUAUUCAGUCCCGGUCGCUAUACCGCCUAGACCGGUUCCGGUUCGGUUUUUUCGGUUUCAGAUCGGUACAGGGACAAGAGACCGGUUCUUGUGCAGCCUUAAUUCCAAGUAUUUGGAAAAACACUAGCAUCCAAAUGCAGUGUCGGAUUGCUGAAUCCGACAGGUUAUUUUUGUAAUUUGUGGGGUGAAUUACCCCACUCCUCCUUUUCCUUCAGUACACAUCCCCGGAUUCGCCCAAAAACCCCGGCGGUUCUCUCACUAUCUCCCCUCGACUGUUCAAACCCCAAAACCUGCUCAUAAUUCUUCCCCUCAACAUCAAAAAUGGAAACCCUAGAAGAGGAAAUCAAAAUCCAACAUUUCACUGAAUGGUUACAAGCAAACAAAGUCGAAUUACGUGGUUGUAAAAUCAAAUACUGUGGACCUAAUAAAGGAUUCGGCCUUUUCUCUUCGUCUCAAAACAGUGCUAGUCCAAUUUUACUAGUUGUACCAUUAGAUUUAUCAAUCACACCAAUGAGUGUACUGCAAGAUCCAAGUUUAGGGCUUAAAUGUAGAGCUAUGUUUGAACAAGGGGAAGUUGAUGAUCGUUUCUUAAUGAUUUUGUUUUUAACUGUCGAACGUCUUCGCAAGAAUUCAUUGUGGAAACCGUAUAUUGAUAUGUUACCAGUCACAUUUGGGAAUCCACUUUGGUUUAAUGAGGAUGAGAUUUUGGAGCUUAAAGGGACUACUUUGUAUAAAGCUACCCAAAUGCAGAAAAAAAAGUUGGAGGGUUUGUGUGAAGAGAAAGUGAAGGAUUUGGUUAUGGAGAUACUUGAUGGGGAAGCAGAAAGUGAAGUGCGUUACGAGGACUUCCUUUGGGCGAAUUCCAUAUUCUGGACACGUGCUCUAAAUAUACCUUUCCCACAUUCUUACGUAUUCCCGAAAACCUCAGAAGAAGAAAAUUGCUCUGUGCCCCUGGACGCAGAAGGUGGCAUUAUCACUUCAGAAGUUUCACCUCCUUCCGUGGAUGAAAAUGGCAGCCAUGGUUGUGAACUUGCAAGCGGAGUUGGUGCGAACGCAGUAAACUCAGCACAAGGAGAAUCCGUUUGGGUCGAGGGGCUUAUUCCUGGCAUUGAUUUCUGCAAUCAUGUAAUAAAGUCUACAACAACAUGGGAGGUUGAUAGUCUGGGAUUGACAACUGGAGUUCCUGCAUCUAUGUACCUCUUGUCCGCUGAACAGGGUACAAUCCGAAAUGAGGAAGAGAUAUGCAUAAGUUACGGUGAUAAAGGGAAUGAGGAGCUACUGUACCUUUAUGGAUUUGUUAUUGAUGAUAACCCGGAUGACUAUCUCAUGGUCCAUUAUCCAGUAGAGGCAAUUCAGAGUGUUCCUUUUGCUGAUUCAAAGGCACAGCUUCUAGAAGUACAGAAGGGUGAAAUGAGAUGUCUUUUGCCGAGAAAUUUAUUAGAACGUGGUUUCUUCUCAGAUAGCUCCCCUCAAAAUGAAGAUAGUGUUCAACGUGGACAUGAUAGGAUGUGCAGCUUUAGUUGGUCUGGUCAGCGUAAGAUUCCUUCAUAUCUGAAUAAACUAGUUUUUCCGGAGGAAUUCUUAACUAGUUUACGGACCAUAGCCAUGAAUGAGGAAGAGCUGUUGAAAGUUUCAUCACUGCUGGAAGAGCUUGUUGGAAACGAAGAGGAGAAGCAACCAUCCGAUACCGAAGUUAAGGCAGCAAUAUGGGAGGUUUGUGGGGAUUCAGGUGCCUUGCAGUUGCUUGUCGAUCUUCUUCAAACCAACACUUUGUUUGUGAUUUCAACAAUUCGUUGUCAACAUCGAUAUAUGAGAAGUAACCUUGACAACCACUUAACUAACAAGAAGGAUGAUGGAGCUUGAAGAUGGUUCUGGAUCAGAAGCUUCUGAUACCGAGUUGCUUGAAAAUGCUCGUGUAAUAGAAAUUCCCGAAGGGAGUAUGAGGCACGAUGCAGGAAAUGUUACAAGUGCAGAGAAGUUGAUCAGCAGAAACAGCUGGUGCAGUAUAAUUUAUCGACGAGGGCAAAAGCAACUUACACGCCUGUUCUUAAAGGAAGCUGAGCAUGCCCUGCACCUAUGCUUAAGUGAACAGAAUUGAGUAUAAAAGCAAAUAGCUUCCAAUAUUUUCAGUCGGAAUCUAAGUAUUGAUAGAAUUCACCAUUUCUAGUUUAGGUAUAGUUCAAGGUUAGAUCAUUUAGUUUUGGAAGAAACUUUUUGUUCAACUUUAAAACCUUCGACUGAGAUGUGGAUCAGCCCUUGGUUGUUGUAUGAACGUAUUAGAAGUCAGAUCAGCAAACUCUUUGGUCUUUAUCCAAACUAAUAAAGCAAGUGAAUAUACUACAAAACCUCUCUUUCAUUGCAUUAGUCA